rfam:Lupinus angustifolius cultivar Tanjil contig_24525, whole genome shotgun sequence.
AAAAAAGCAUUAGUCUAUUGCCUAUGUUAUCUGGUCUGACCUCUCGUGAACUUUAGGAACAAAUCACCAUUGUUUUUGGGAGAACCUCUAUUAUUUAUUUGUGACUCAAGGUUCAACUAAUGAUGGAAAAAAU